GGAAGCGUAGCUCAGUUGGAGGAGCAUCUGAUUGUUAAUCAGAGGGCCGCAGGUUCGAGUCCUGCCGUUUCCGCCA
rnacentral:tRNA from 1 species